GAGACAGAGGAGUUGCCUGUGAAAAUAAUCCCUUGUAUUAGAAUAAAACAUGUACACAUUCCUCCAGACUUGGUGUCUGAUCAUUUACAAGACAUUCCCAUAAAAACAGAACCUCUUGAGAAAGUGCAAGAUGCAUUCAUUGCUCAAACUAGGGAUGGCCUAAGAGACCUAAGAGCAUCGCAGGCUGAGAAGUGUCUUGAAGAUGAACAUUUGAGAUCUGAGGCACAGAGAAAAGAACACAGUCAUUUCUCUCUGGGUAGCAAAGGAUAACCAGUUGUAAGGCCAGGGGAGGCCUUCAGCAGGACCUCAUCUGAGAAGGUGCUGAAGCCUGUGUGGAACAUGCUGAAAGCUCUUCAACCCAGGGCGGACCCCCUUGCACAACUGGCAGCCCAGUACACUGAGAAUGAAAAGGGAGAGGAGAAGGUGGAGGAAAAGCUUGAAGCAAAGGAACAGUGGGAGGAAGAAUAGGAGCUGCAGCAGAUAGAGGAGACCAUUCAAGUUGAAUCCUCUCUGUAUUUGGGGAGCCCACUGGCUUCAUCCAUGGACAGUGAACAAUUAAGUUGGAAACACUGUCUGAAGAUGCUGGAAAGAAAGAUCCUCCCAUACCAGAAGAAAUGGGGGUCGAUACAGCAGCUGCUGGCAGUUCCAGAAAAAUGGUCUUCCUCUUUUAAGAAGAUACUGAAUGGUCUGUCCAGAGUGCACUCUCUUCUCUUAAGUUGCCUACUGCACCACAGGAAGUGUCAUAAAGUUGCACAAGAGAUUAUACUUGCAUGUUAAAUUGUUUUAGGAAAAAUAGGAAAAAUAUAAAUAGAGUUAGAAAAAAAUGGGUUCUGGUGAAGACUGCUAAUUGUACUUUGUGAUCACUUG